AAUGAACGCUGGCGGCGCGCUUAACACAUGCAAGUCGAACGAGAAAGUCCUUCGGGAUAAGUACAGUGGCGAACGGGUGAGUAACGCGUGAGAAUUUACCCAUCAGUGGGGGAUACCUUUGGGAAACCGAAGUUAAUACCGCAUGACCUUUAAAUAGAAAAGGCGGCCUCUUUGCUGUCGCUGAUGGAUGAGCUCGCGUACUAUUAGCUAGUUGGUGGGGUAAUGGCCUACCAAGGCGAUGAUGGUUAGCCGGCCUGAGAGGGUGAUCGGCCACACUGGGACUGGAAUACGGCCCAGACUCCUACGGGAGGCAGCAGUGGGGAAUAUUGCGCAAUGGGCGAAAGCCUGACGCAGCGACGCCGCGUGGAGGAUGAAGGUCUUCGGAUUGUAAACUUCUGUUAAGUGGAAAGAAAGACGUAUGGUUAAUACCCAUUACGGGAUGACGGUACCACUAGAGAAAGCACCGGCUAACUUCGUGCCAGCCGCCGCGGUAAAAC
rnacentral:rRNA from 1 species